CUCCUUUUCUGAGUUUGAAUCAAUGUGUGGGAUUCAGGACUCAGCAAAAUGCUGUGUGGAGAAGGAGGGCUGGACUUGGGGAGAAGUGACGGACGCCAGGGUGCCAGCCGCUGGACCGCAAGAGGAGGAUCGUUAACCUGGCUCGAUUCUUCCGUGAUUGUUGCCUCUCUUCUGGCGGGACAGCAGCGUGAAGAAAAGUAGAGCCAAACUAGCUGGAUCCGAGCCAGCUGGCUGAGGGGGCUCAGGUCACUGCCUGCUCCUCCAUCAUCAGGGACACUUCCUCCUGAAGCAGAUGGGAACGGAAAAAGAGACACCUACAGCAAGGUGUGCAGAGAGCAAGACACCUUGGAACACUCAGCCCUAAGUAAAAUGUCUCCAUCAGAUCCCUCCCCUCAGGACUCAAGGAACCCGGUAGAGGAGUAGCCAAAAAGAUAAUCUAAGAGUCAGAGGACACCAAAGGAGCAAGGCCCUCGAAAUCAACAGGAUAGAUGCAUACUCGAACUCACGGAGACCGUGGCUGCAUGCACAGGACCU